CCUACGGGAGGCAGCAGUAGGGAAUCUUCCCGCCAAUGGACGAAAGUCUGACGGAGCAACGCCGCGUGAGUGAUGAAGGCUUUCGGGUCGUAAAACUCUGUUGUUAGGGAAGAACAAGUACGAGAGUAACUGCUCGUACCUUGACGGUACCUAACCAGAAAGCCACGGCUAACUACGUGCCAGCAGCCGCGGUAAUACGUAGGUGGCAAGCGUUAUCCGGAAUUAUUGGGCGUAAAGCGCGCGCAGGCGGUUUCUUAAGUCUGAUGUGAAAGCCCACGGCUCAACCGUGGAGGGUCAUUGGAAACUGGGGAACUUGAGUGCAGAAGAGAAAAGCGGAAUUCCACGUGUAGCGGUGAAAUGCGUAGAGAUGUGGAGGAACACCAGUGGAGAGGGCGCUUUUUGGUCUGUAACUGACGCUGAGGCGGAAAGCGUGGGGAGCAAACAGGAUUAGAAUACCCUGGUAGUCCACGCCGUAAACGAUGAGUGCUAAGUGUUAGAGGGUUUCCGCCCUUUAGUGCUGCAGCUAACGCAUUAAGCACUCCGCCUGGGGAGUACGGUCGCAAGACUGAAACUCAAGAUGACGGCGAAUUGUAUCAAAAUACGGGGUGACCCUGCACCAAGCCGGUCCGGAGACAAUGUGGUUUAAUUCGAAGCAACGCGAAGAACCUUAC
rnacentral:rRNA from 1 species